GAUGAAGAACGUAGUGAAAUGCGAUACUUGGUGUGAAUUGCAGAAUCCCGUGAACCAUCGAGUCUUUGAACGCAAGUUGCGCCCGAAGCCAUUAGGCCGAGGGCACGCCUGCCUGGGCGUCACACGUCGUUGCCCCCCCCAUCUACUCCUUCGGGAUUGCGGGGGGCGGAUGAUGGCCUCCCGUGCGCCUCGCCGCGCGGUUGGCAUAAAUGCCAAGUCCUCGGCGACGCACGCCACGACAAUCGGUGGUUGCGAAACCUCGGUUGCCCGUCGUGUGCGGUCGUCGCGCAUCGAGGGCUCGAAAAAAUUGCCGAGUUCCGGCUCGGCUUUCAACGCGACCCCAGGUCAGGCGGGGUUACCCGCUGAAUUUAAGCAUAUCAAUAAGCGGAGGA
rnacentral:misc_RNA from 1 species